rnacentral:rRNA from 1 species
GAGUGGCGAACGGGUGAGUAACACGUGGGUAACCUGCCCAUCAGAAGGGGAUAACACUUGGAAACAGGUGCUAAUACCGUAUAACAAUCAAAACCGCAUGGUUUUGAUUUGAAAGGCGCUUUCGGGUGUCGCUGAUGGAUGGACCCGCGGUGCAUUAGCUAGUUGGUGAGGUAACGGCUCACCAAGGCCACGAUGCAUAGCCGACCUGAGAGGGUGAUCGGCCACAUUGGGACUGAGACACGGCCCAAACUCCUACGGGAGGCAGCAGUAGGGAAUCUUCGGCAAUGGACGAAAGUCUGACCGAGCAACGCCGCGUGAGUGAAGAAGGUUUUCGGAUCGUAAAACUCUGUUGUUAGAGAAGAACAAGGAUGAGAGUAACUGUUCAUCCCUUGACGGUAUCUAACCAGAAAGCCACGGCUAACUACGUGCCAGCAGCCGCGGUAAUACGUAGGUGGCAAGCGUUGUCCGGAUUUAUUGGGCGUAAAGCGAGCGCAGGCGGUUUCUUAAGUCUGAUGUGAAAGCCCCCGGCUCAACCGGGGAGGGUCAUUGGAAACUGGGAGACUUGAGUGCAGAAGAGGAGAGUGGAAUUCCAUGUGUAGCGGUGAAAUGCGUAGAUAUAUGGAGGA